UACGGGGGGGGCAAGCGUUGUUCGGAAUUACUGGGCGUAAAGGGCUCGUAGGCGGCCAACUAAGUCGGACGUGAAAUCCCCAGGCUCAACCUGGGAACUGCGUCCGAUACUGGAUGGCUUGAAUCCGGGAGAGGGAUGCAGAAUUCCAGGUGUAGCGGUGAAAUGCGUAGAUAUCUGGAGGAAUACCGGUGGCGAAGGCGGCAUCCUGGACCGGCAUUGACGCUGAGGCACGAAGGUCAGGGGAGCAAACGGG
rnacentral:rRNA from 1 species